GUGCACCGACUAUCCGCGCCCAGGGGUCCGGCUGUAGCCAAGGUCAUUGCACCUGGCGGGGGUGGGGCGGCCCAGGUGAUUCUGGGAACCCUCAUCGCACCCCCACCUUUCUCCCUCCCCUGCUUCUCAGAGCAGAGAGAGACCACGAGGACAUGGCCCGCCCAGAGCGCUGAGACGAGUUGAGACUCAGGGCUUAGAGACUUCAGAGGAAUCAACACCCAGCCUCCUCCAGUCUCCGAGACAGGAUGGGGGACGCAUCCCAGACCACAGCCAACGCAAAGACAUCGCUCCCUUCCCAUGCGCCCCCCGGCCCUCACCUGCCACGUCCCCCAGGCCCUCAGGAUCAAGGUCAAGUACUUCUGCCUUGCACUCAGGGCCCAACGCCAUCUUCCAGUGACCUACUUUCCCAGCCGUGUCACCCAUUUCUCUGGCCUCAAACCCCAGCCCCCACCAACCUGGAUGAUUUGCCAUCUCUGGAACACAGCAGAUGUUCUCACACUCCCAGACUUUUCUACAGAAAAGAAAACUGAGGCUCAGAGAAAGGAAUUUCAUUGCUCAACCUCAAACACCCAGGAAGCGGUAGAGCCGGAAUUGGAACUCAACUUCCAACAUGGCGGUGGACAUGGCCCAUCUCUUGGGGCCCCCUCUGGUUCCACCUUACUAUAAUAUGGGAUGGGUGGAUUUGGGAGGAGUUUUUGAGAGCCCUGUGGGAAAGGAGGGAGGUGGUAGGCAGUGGGGAGUGGAAGAACCUCUAAGAGAGAGAAUGAAGUCCCCAACUCUAGGCAUUUGCCAGUGGCCUUCAUGGUUUUUCCAUCCCCACAUGCCAUGCAUGCUUAUUUAUGGGAUGUUUUUCUCCAAAGUGAC